AUACGUAGGGAGCGAGCGUUGUCCGGAAUUACUGGGCGUAAAGGGCGCGUAGGCGGCGCUUCAAGUCGUCUGUCAAAUGGGAGGGCUUAACCCUUUUUCGCAGACGAAACUGGAGAGCUUGAGAAGCAGAGAGGCAAACAGAAUUCCUGGUGUAGCGGUGAAAUGCGUAGAUAUCAGGAAGAAUACCAGUGGCGAAGGCGGUUUGCUGGCUACAUACUGACGCUGAAGCGCGAAAGCCAGGGGAGCGAACGGGAUUAGAUACCCCGGUAGUCCUGGCAGUAAACGAUGUAUGCUGGGUGUGAGACUAGCGAUAGUUUCGUGCCGAAGUUAACGCGAUAAGCAUACCGCCUGGGGAGUACGGUCGCAAGAUUGAAACUCAAAGGAAUUGACGGGG
rnacentral:rRNA from 1 species